AAAUCUCGAGGCGUCUGGUUGUGUGUCCGCAGGAAAAUCGUCCAAAGUUCCAGCGCAAGUCGCGCGCUGAUUUCGAUUUAUGUUACGGCUGCUGUGGCCCCAAAAAUGAAACUUGUCCCAGCCACGAAGGAGAUGCUCCAGGAUAUACGAGACUAGGAGCUUAAAAUUACCAAAAGGCGUUUGCUGGAACACGGAGAAAGUCGGUGGUCGAAGCGUUUUAAUUGCCUCCGGUUGAAACGAUUUUCUGCUCUCCAAAAGCGCGUGUGUGUGCGUUCGGGAAAAGUGCGUGGGUGUCGCAGACGGCCAAAGGACCUCAAUCAGGCCAAUCUCCUGCCAGACAAGCCUUUUCGGCUGUCGACAGUCAUCAAAGCGGCUUAAAGUUCCGGUAUCCAAUGCGAAGCGUCUAGGCAUUCAUCGUGUUGUGCAACCACUGCAAUUUGCCGACGGGGGAAACACAAUUAUGGCGAAUUCGAACAAAGCUCCGACUAAGUGCAUUAACAACAAUAACG